rnacentral:misc_RNA from 1 species
UACGUAGGGGGCAAGCGUUAUCCGGAAUCAUUGGGUUUAAAGGGUCCGUAGGCGGGUCGAUAAGUCAGUGGUGAAAGUCUGCAGCUCAACUGUAGAACUGCCAUUGAUACUGUUAACCUUGAGUAAUUAUGAAGUGGUUAGAAUAUGUAGUGUAGCGGUGAAAUGCAUAGAUAUUACAUAGAAUACCGAUUGCGAAGGCGGAUCACUAAUAAUUUACUGACGCUGAGGGACGAAAGCGUAGGUAGCGAACAGA